CCGCGCGGGGCGCCCCGCCCCCUUUUACGACAGCUCUGAACGCGCCCCGCCUUCUGUGUCAUCCGGUAGGAGACUAGCUCCGCCCCUCCGAGGAGGCUCCCGCGUUGGCACCGCCCCUUACCCUGCUACCGGGCCCACACCACCUCAGAGGCGUAACCCGACAGCCUCCAGAUCGCGAGAUUUCUUAGAAGCCCUUCCCGGCCCGCGCGGGGGCGAGGACUGAGGCCUCGCCCCGCCUUGGAGUUUAGACCGUGGUCCGGAGCGCAGGUGCCCAGCCCUGAGUUGGGUACCACUGAUGGAGGAUGCUGAUUCAGAAUGUACACGACCUCCUGGAGAACCUUGCCCCUACCCUGCCAUGUGCUGCAACUUAGAUGGCCUGUGACUCAGUCACCAAAAGGUAGCUCAGAUGAAUAAAACAGUGGAAGUUCUGGGUAUUCCACCUGCUCAUAUCCUUGACCAAGCACCAAAAGCAAGAAAGUUCUUCGAGAAGUUGCCAGAUGGCACUUGAAACUUAAAGAAGACCAAAGAUGGAAAAUGGAAAUAAAUUUUUAACAACAAAAAAAUCAAAUCCAUAACCAAACGAUUACGUUGUGACGGAUGCACUAGGGGUUCUAACCGAGUGUAAACCACCGGGAACCCGUAAACUUCAUAAUAUUCUUGGAGCAGAAACAGGAGGACCUGGUGGGCGUCGUGCUGGGGAAUCGGGUCAUACAUAGCUGACUGCUUGAAGUCCAAAGACCUCAUUUUAAGGAUGCUUGAUUAUGACCCCAAAGCUCGAAUUCAACCUUACUAUGCCCUGCAGCACAGUUUUUUCAAGAAGACAGCUGAUGAAGAUACAAACACGAGUAAUAGCGUGUCCACAAGCCCCACCGUGGAGCAGUCGCAGUCUUCGGGCACCACCUCUAGUACGUCUUCAAGCUCAGGUGGAUUGUCGGGGACGAGCAGCAGUGGGAGAGCCAGGUCGGACCCGACGCAGCAGCAGCGGCACAGCGGCAGGCACUUCACCGCCGCUGUCCAGGCCAUGGACUGCGAGACGCACAGCCCGCAGGUGCGUCAGCAAUUUCCUGCUCCCCUUGGUUGGUCAGGCACUGAAGCUCCCACACAAGUCACUGUUGAAACUCAUCCCGUUCAAGGAACAGCCUUUCAUGUAGCCCCUCAACAGAAUGCAUUGCAUCAUCACCAUGGAAACAGUUCCCAGCACCAUCACCACCACCACCACCAUGGACAACAAACCUUGGGUAACCGGACCAGGCCAAAGGUCUACAGUUCUCCAACAAAUAGCUCCUCUACCCAGGAUUCUAUGGAGGUUGGCCAUUGUCACCACUCCAUGACAUCCCUGUCCUCCUCAACUACUUCUUCCUCCACAUCUUCCUCCUCUACUGGCAAUCAAGGCAGUCAGACCUAGCAGAACCGCCCAGUGGCUGCUAAUACCUUGGACUUCGAACAGAAUGGAGCUAUGGACGUUAAUUUAACCAUCUACUCCAAUCCCCGCCAAGAGACUGGCAUAGCUGGACAUCCAGUGUACCAGUUUCCUGCUAAUACAGGUCCUGCACAUUACCUGACUGAAGGACAUCGGACAGUGAGGUUGGGGGUGGGACAUUUGGAUUUUUUAAGUCCUCCAAACACACUUGGUCACGGAAACGCAGUCCUGUCAGGAAGAGGGACCUCCAGCUCAUGCAGCAUCCAUCACCCUCAGCUGUAUGGAAGGGAUGGUGGUAUUGGUGUUUGAAAGGCAUGGGGGAAGGGGGAUUCCUUCAGGCCGGGCCGUGGCUCUGACGUGCCCGUGAGGAAGCCACAGGUGGUGGAAGGGCUGAGCGGAAAGAAGAUUGUGCACGUGGCCUUCGGGGCCCUGCACUGCCUGGCGGUCACUGAUGCAGGGCAGGUAUAUGCUUGGCGUGACAGUGACCAUGGGCGACAGGGCAGUGGUACAACCAUGGUUAAUAGAAAGGCCACACUCACACAAGGCUUAGAAGGCCAGAAGAUCACACGAGUGGCCUGUGGGUCUUCGCACAGCGUGGCACGGACGACGGUCAAUGUGGCAACACCCUCUGUCCACGAGCCCGUCCUCUUCCAGACUGCGAGGGACCCCUUAGGUGCUUCCUAUUUAGGCGCAGAAGGCCUCAGGGUGGAGUCUGGCCGGCAGGGCUCAACAGACCGGCGCCACGACCCUCUCACAGUCAUGGAUGGCGUCAACCGGAUCGUCUCCAUGCGGUCAGGUGGGAGGGGAGGUUGAGGUGCCUUUGUAGAACAGAAGAGUGACCAUUACUGAACAGAGUGUUACCACUUCAUUCUCACGUGAGAUUUCAGGAAGGGACAAUACGUGAUUACCCACAAAAUACAGCAGAUUUUAUCUGCCAGUACUUUCAGUAAGAUCAUUAUCCAACGGAUGUUAGUACCUCACUCACCACUGAUGGGUGGGACUCCUGGGUGACCGGUGUGAGAGCAGGUCCUUGUUGGGGGCACAGGCCGUCCAGGAGGCCGGCCUUACCCAGACAGUGGAGAUGGUGCUGGAAAGAGUGUGGGAGGGCCAGGCUCGUGCUACAGAGCUUCUUAAGGGGAUUUGUUUUUUAAUUGAUGCUGUGAGGGCAUGGGCUCCACACGGAGUGUGCGCUCUGUGCGUGGGGAGGACAGAGCGCUGGGGUAGACGGGAGCGGUCACCUGCGGGCCUCUCCCUGCUCUGCUGACAGGCUCCCCGUGGCUGAGCAGGGGUUGAGUCCCUCUGUACCGGGUCUUAUUAAAUGCUCUCUCACGGGGCUUUUUAGAAUCAUCAGUGCAGGUAUUUGUAUGUGCGUGCGAUCUCUUCAGACUAUUUUUAUCCUUCAUCUGGAGCAAGUGUCUGCUAAUGUUUCCUGGCAUAACUGCGCCCCUCUGCCUUUGUAGCAGAGGCAGCCGCAGCCUGAAUAUAAAUGAUUGGCCUGGCUGUGUCCCAGUGAAAUUUUCCUCGCAAGACAUUACUUCGGAUGAAGGAUGUGGUCACAGAUGAGCAUGGCUUUCUUUCCGGCAUUUCGACAAAUGUCAAUGUGGUUUUAGUCAUGUUGGGAGAUGUGCCUGGUGUCUCUGCUUCCAGCCGGAUCCCUUCCGAGCCACUCCCAGCCCGCUGCCUGGUGGCCCUUCUAAGUAGAAGCCUGGUUGGGGUGGCGCACUGCAGCCCUGUCUGUCUGCUCCCCAGGCUCUGGCUGGGCUGCGCCAUCCUCCUGAAGGUGGCUCUUCCAUGCUGAGCUGCCCCUGUGCCCAGGCCUUUGCAUACUUGCACCCUCUUUGGGAAAGGCUGGGGCUUUCUCAUCCAUUGCAUGGGAACCACUGUCAUGUCAGACCUUCCCCAGGAAGCCUCCCCGUGGCCCCUGACCUGGCUGUGGGCAGAGGCUGGCUCUGCAGGCCCCUCACACAGCAUCAUGGGUGCAUGUGAGUAUCUCCCUUGGGGCGUUGCCUGCCUGCUCCCUGCUUCCCCACUUUUUGGCGCAGGGUGUGUUGAGGGCACAGUGUGAACGCAUGUGAGGAGUGGGCUGGAGGAGCCAGCUGUGCUCCAGACAGGGCGCAAAUGACUCUGGGUCUAAAGAAGUCGAUGUUGAUCUGAUGGUGGGCGAACCCCACACCAGUGUUGUUCGCUCUCCCAGGCUAGGAGUGGUCCAACUGGUCCAGCGAGCUGCGCAUCCCAGGGGACGAGCUGAAGUGGACGUUCAUCAGCGAUGGGUCUGUGAACGGGUGGGGCUGGCGCUUCACCGUCUACCCCAUCACACUGGCCACGGGCCCUAAAGACCUCCUUUCCAAUCUCUGCGUCCUCUCCUGUCCAUCGGUGGACUUGGUGACAUGUCUGUCGGACUUCCAGCUCAACCUUGCCUCGAACAGAAGCACCAUCCCCUGCCUGGCGGCAUCUCUGGCGGCCUGUGCGCAGCUGAGCGCCUUAGGUCCUUCCAUUCCCCUGGAUGUUCUCUCAGCAUCAAACUCCUCCUCUCAGCUGAUGGUGAAGUGGAACCCGCCCUCUCUGCCCAGCAGCAGCCUGAGUUCCUACAUCGUGCAGUGGUGGCACCUGCCUCAGGACAGCUGCCUUCACGGCACAACUGCUGCCCCAAAGACAAAAUCCCCAUCAGGAAGUAGGCCGAUGGCAUCAUCAAUGGCGAGGAGGUGAUGGAGAAUCUCAAGACCAAACUGUGGUGGCGAGAAAGGGCUGUGCUGCACUUGUCCCAAAACCAAGGCUGAGAAGCAAGCCGAGAAAGAGGAGGCCGAGGGCUGCAAGAUCUUCAAGAAUUCCCUGCACAACGCCGUCUUCAUGCCCAGUACCUGCCCUCUGAGGAUGACUCCAGGCGGGGUCUGGUGCUGUCUCACCACCCUGGUCUUUGUAGGUCAGCAGCCUCAAGACCCAAAAGGAAGCAGAGGGAGCCAUGCAGGCUGCCAGCACCACCAUAUCCAGCUGAAACAGGAACACCGCGGUGGUGGACACCUACAACACUGCAGACCCGGAAGAGCUUGAGACGUAGUACUGUUUCUUCGAAAGCAGAGUGUACAAGGAGAGAACUGUAAUCUCUAACUUCUGGCCUUUCGUUUUGUACCGCAUCAAUACCCACAGCUGUAACCACGAGGCUGAGAAGCUGGGCUGCAGCGCCUCCAACUUUGUCUUUGAGAGAACCGUGCCUGCAGUUGUUGCACAGAGGAAGCAGAUGACGUUCCUGGACCGGUGACCUGGGAGCCAAGGUCUGAGAGCUCCAUCUUUUUAAAGUGGCCAGAACCUGGGAAUCCCUGUGGAGCGAUUCUAAUCUAUGAGAUAAAACGUGGACCACACUCGAGGAUCAGCGGGGAUGUGUGUCCAGACAGGAGCACAGGAAGUGUGCAGGGGCCAAGCUGAGCCGGCUCACCAGGGGAGCUACACGGCCCGGAUCCAGGCCACCUCUCUCUCUGGCAAUGGGUUGUGGACCAAUCCUGUGUUCUACGUCCAGGCCAAAAGGCCAAGGAACUUAGAGCACCCGGGGAGAAGGCCAGAUUUGGUGUUGGAAUAGGAAAGCUUGGAUCUGCUGCAGACUAGCUGAGUGCUUCCAGGGGCCUCAGCAUCCUCGUCUCUGAAGUGGGGAAAUGCUGCCCUCCGGCUUGGGGAUUAGAGAAUUCUGGGAAAGGGCCCGGCUCACGGUGUUGGCCCCUGCCGUCCCCGCACCUGGAAUGUUGUCCUUCUGGCAUCGCUCUGGAGCCCAGCUCAAGUGGACUUAACUCUCAUCCCACAGUGGCAGAACCAAGUACCUGCAGCGGAGACAGCAUGGCUCCAAAGCCUCAAAUAGUCACUAGCUUGCUCUUGGAGAAAGUGUUUGCCGACCCCCAGUCUAGACUGAAAAUCCAGAAGGACUCUUCCCUUCAAAGGAAGGUUUGGGCACCUGUGUGCUUGAAAAUUCUUGGGGAUUUUUCUCCCAGUGGAAGACCCCCAGGCAUGCCUGGUUCCUCUUUGGCCCCCCCAACCUCGGCAUCAGCCGGGAGGCAGGGGGACACCUGAGGGGCCUCAUCCCUCUUAACCCAGCCUGGAGCAGCUCCAAGCUCCAUCCCCCGUUCUGGGCCCAGCCAGAGAUCCCCUGCCUUGUCCACAAAGCCCCUGUCCUGCUUGACUUCACAGUUCAGGUCACAGUCCAGGGCUGUGUCUGCAAGGGGAGGGCAGAGGGUAAGUCACCACGGGGUUCCCAGGAACCCAACACAGGCCCAUGGCCUCCACCUUCUAACCUGUCUUAGGACCCACCUGGGGCCAGGCAGACAAGUCAUUUCCAAGAAGACAGUGCCCAGAGGUGGGAGCAUCUGGAGCCCCCCACCCUGGGCCUUGGGGAGGAAGAAGGGUCAGAGCAAAGGUCAACUGCUGCCCCCUCCAGGAAGCCUUCCAUGAACUCUAUUCUGCAUCGCUACAGCCCUCGCUGUCUAGGUGCGCCCUGUACGGAGCCCGGGUCGCCCUGGACGCCCUUGGUCUGUGUGGAGCUGCUUCAUCUCCUUGGGAUGGGGCAGUGAGCCUGGACUCUGGUGUCAGUCGUGGAUGUGAAUCUGGGCUGGCGCCUGCUGGCUGUGUGGCUUCUCUGAGCCUCAGCUUCUUCCCAGUUCCCAAACCUCUUCCCACCUUCUUGACCUUUCUCCCUAGAAGCGUGGGGAGAUUUUAUAAUACCGGUGAAACAUUCAAGGGGGAGAGAGAGACUCUGAGAGAAGACCCCCAGCCCCCAGUAUAGAGAAUUUGAAAUGAUUUUUAAUCAUGUGAAAUGACACCUGAUCACCAUGCAACAGGGCAUGAAUCUCACAAACAGAACAUGAGGCAAAAGAAGUCCAGCCCCAAAGGACGUGUGUAAUAUGAUUCCAUCCAUAGAAAAUUCAAAUAUAGACCAAAGUAGACUGUAUGAUUUGGGUGUACAUAUUCAGAUGAUAAAACCAUAAAGAAAAGCAUGAAAUUCUCAUCACAAGAUAGCAGUUACCUCUGUGGGAGGGAGGGGCUGUGGUCAGAGGGGAGCUUGGGGGCAGGGUGUGCUUUGGGGAGCUGGUCACAUUCCAUGUUGUUUCUUGACCUUGCUCAAGUGUUUGCUUUGCAUCUAUUCAUUAAUAGAUACACACACAUAAAAUAAAGC